AUCUCUCCCUUCGUCCUUAUCCGGCUGCUAUGCUAACCAACGCUAGCUUUUUCUCCGUUCGUCCUUAUCCAGCUGCUAUGCUAACCAACCUAGCUAGCUAGCUUUUCUACGUAGAAGUAAGCUUUUCUACAUAGAAGUAGAUUGAUUAGCAUAUUCUUGUUAGAAACUACGUUUGUGUUUGAGUGACACUUCCAUCGACGAACGGAUACGACGGAUCGACGUGGUCGUUGUUGGUCUCAUCGGCUGGACGGCAGAUCGGCGUGGUCGCCGUGGUCGUGAGCACUACACGAGUCAGAUAUGGGCAAGCCGAGCGGCAGCGGCAACAAAUCUAACUCUGCUUUCAAGCAAGCAAUCUCUGCAGUACGCACUAAAAAGCAAGAUCAACUAUCCAGCAAAAAACGUUCGAGUGGAUCUCGCUCAAAGAAAAGGAGUUCCAUACAUAGGAAAGCAUGGAAGGACAAACUGUACUCUAGGUGUGCUCCUGCUAUCGUUGCAGAUCUCAUGGAAGACCUUGACGAGGAGCCAAGAAAGCUUGUAGAAGAGAUGGGGUUUCAGGGAUUACAUAGCCUGAAGCUGCACAAGCUAAAUAAACCAUUAGGAGCCUGGCUGCUUAGUAAAUUCAAUACAAAAUUGUUAGUUUUUUUUGCGGGGACAAGCAGAGAGCUCAAGAUGACAUCCGAGGAUGUCAAUCGUGUGAGCGAAAUCCCAUGUAGUGGCAUGAUCAUAACACCUCCAAGCCCAUAAGAUGUCAGUUCCAUGAAAGCAAAAUUCUGUGCUAUUUUUGAAAAAACUUCAAGGGAUGAAAUUACUAUCAAUUUCCUUCUGAAAAUAGUAACAACAAAACGAACAGGCAAAAUGACAAGUGAGGAAAUCCUCCAAUUCAAGACGGCAUUUGCAUUUUCUGUCGUUACCAAAUUCUUUGCUCCACAGUCAUUGAACAACUUCAUAUCAACACGAUAUAUGAAAGCAGUGUUUGAUAUGGAGAACAUUCAUGCCUACAACUGGGCACAAUUUGUUGCCGACGAGCUCAGACUAGCAGCAGAGUCUCUGCAGUCGAAGCUCUCCCGCGAAAAGAACAUCGGAUAUAUCAAUGGAUGCAUGUUAAUUCCUGAGAUUCACUACCUGGACAGCUUGGACCUUGGCAAGGAUUCCCCUCCUGACCACAUUGUUCCACGGUUUGCUGCAUACAACGACGACAUGGUCAGUAAGGUCAUUAAACGGGAUAUAAUUUUGAAAAAUCGGCUACCUUUUCCAACAUAUGGAAAAUUAAAGGUACAACAUACUUCAUACUCCAUACUACAACCGGAAAUAGGGCAGACCAUAUAAUUUUUUUACUAUACAUCUGAAUAGUAUAAUAUAUUCUCCUUUUUAUGAUACUACGUACUACUUCUGAGAGAUAGUAUGUGCAUACUACUUUUGGUGAUGUUCUUCACAGUUGUUUGAGGCAGAUUAUACAUACUCCAUACUAGA